GGCCUAACACAUGCAAGUCGAACGGCAGCACAGUGUGUAGCAAUACACAUGGGUGGCGAGUGGCGGACGGGUGAGUAACGCGUAGGAAUCUGCCCUAAAGAGGGGGACAACCCGAGGAAACUCGGGCUAAUACCGCAUAAUCUCGCAAGAGAAAAGCUGGGGCAACCUGGCACUUUAGGAGGAGCCUGCGUCCGAUUAGCUAGUUGGUGAGGUAAAAGCUCACCAAGGCGAUGAUCGGUAGCUGGUCUGAGAGGAUGAUCAGCCACACUGGGACUGAGACACGGCCCAGACUCCUACGGGAGGCAGCAGUGGGGAAUAUUGGACAAUGGGGGCAACCCUGAUCCAGCAAUGCCGCGUGUGUGAAGAAGGCCUUCGGGUUGUAAAGCACUUUAGUUGGGGAAGAAGGCUUGUAGUUUAAGAGAUGAUAAGCUUGACGGUACCCAAAGAAUA
rnacentral:rRNA from 1 species